GGGGAUUUAGCUCAGUGGUAGAGCGCUUGCCUAGCAAGCGCAAGGCCCUGGGUUCGGUUCCCAGCUCUG
rfam:Rattus norvegicus chromosome 6, whole genome shotgun sequence.